UAAAAUCGGCCUUUAAAUAGCCGAGAAAAGAAAAAGAAAUCAAAUCAAAAGAAAUCCCCUCUGCUUUUGUUAGAAAGAUUUUUGUCGUUCUGUUUGUGUUUGUUGCUGUGGGUUCAACGUGCAGGGAAGGCGCGAGAUUCGUGGCGGCGAGGGGCACGAUGUGCGAGAUCGACGGGCAUGACGCGCGGAAGCAGUUGCUGCGGCGCUGAGGCAGAAGCUAGGGUUUCUGCUAUUCUAUUUUUUUGUGGGCUAGGGUUAGUUUGGGUGUUUAGGGUUAUUGGGCCUAGGUUUAGCUUAUUUUUUUGUUUUGUAAGGGCCCGGGUAAAUUGGCCUUAUUACAGCUGCCCCUCUUUGCUUGUUGUCGUGUAACGGGAACAGAGCAAAGACUGAAAAGCCCAAUUAUGCCCAGUCUUACUAAACCUUGACUUCUUUAGUGCUUCUCUUCUUCAAGUAGCCUUAUUCCUUCCUACUGCAUCCUCAGAGGUAUAGGAACUAGUGCUUUAAUCUACUCCACUGUAAUGUCGGGGAGAUAGGAUUCAUACAUUGUAGCUUCUUAAAAGAACAAAAAUUGCUAUCUUUAAUCUGCUCCAUUGCAACUUCAGGGAGAUAAGACUUAUAGCUCCAACUUGUUCUACUACAACUUAAGAAUAAAUCUGAUGCGAUCUGCUCUGCUGCAACUUCAGAGAGAUGAGGUCUGUGGUUUUAAUCCACUCUAUUGCAACUUCAAUGAGAUAGGAUUGGUAUACUUCUGUUUGCUCCACUGCAACUUCAGGGAGAUAAGACUGGGGUCUUCGAUCUGCUCUACUACUGCUUAGGGAGAUAAGAAUACUGGCUUCAAUGUACUCCACUGUAACCACAGGGAGGUAAAAUUCACCAUCUUUGAUCUGCUCCACUACUGCUUAGGGAGAUAAGAUCUGCUAUCUUUGAUCUACUUCACGCCAGUACAUGAAGACAAGAUCUAUUUUUUUCGAUCUGCUUUGCCACCAGUAUGGGAAGACAAGAUCUGCUAUCUUUGAUCUACUUCACGCCAGUACAUGAAGACAAGAUCUAUUUUCUUCGAUCUGCUUUGCCACCAGUAUGGGAAGGCAAGAUAUGGUAUCUCUGAUCUACUUCACGCCAGUACAUAAAGACAAGAUCUGCUUUCUUUGAUCUGCUUCGCCACCAGUAUGGGAAGGCAAGAUCUGGUAUCUCUGAUCUACUUCACGCCAGUACAUGAAGACAAGAUCUAUUUUAUUUGAUCUGCUUCGCCACCGGUAUGGGAAGGUAAGAUCUGGUAUCUCUGAUCUACUUCACGCCAGUAUAUGAAGACAAUAUCUAUUUUCUUUGAUCUGCUUCGCCAUCAGUAUGGGAAGGUAAGAUCUGGUAUCUCUAAUCUACUUCACGCAAGUACAUGAAGACAAGAUCUGUUUUCUUCGAUCUAUUUCACCACUAGUAUGGGAAGAUAAAAUCUGUAUAUUCGAUCCACUUCGCUACCGAUAUAGGAAGACAGGAUCUGCUGCUUUUCAACCUGCUCCACUGUACUCAGGGAGAUAAGGCUUUAUGAUUUCGCUGAUCUGUUCUCUGGGGAACAGGACCUGUAUAAUACACUUUAUGAACCUAACUAUGCCUAAUGAUUAGGAUGUUAUGAUCAAAUGAAUCAAAUGCUCCUAACUAGGCGUGUAUGAAUGACAUUUGAAUGUUAUGUCAUGAAAAAUGAAUAUUGAAUGUUUAAAGUUAUUAUUGCUCAUUAAGGCUUCCUUUGUGACAACAACGCUUCGUCAAAACUUGAAAAUUUCAAUCUUGACUCUUGAUUCCUAGAUAUCUCCGACCUUUUAACCCGGUGAAGUCUAAACAAUAGUCCUGCUUCAGGCUCCUGUAUUAUUUAGCAAUUUCUAGAGUAAUAUGAAAAACUUUCAUUGUGAAAGUUUUAUUAGUCCAUUAAUCGUCAUUCUAAUGCAACAAGCUUGCGAAAAGAUCAUAACGAUGAAUAAAACAAAAUUAGUUUGGGAGCAUAGCUCGCAAUGGAUUGUCAAUGAUAGAGGAAUUGUCUGGGGACAUUUAUAUUGAAAAAGAAUGAAAUAUUCUAAAACAACGAACUCAAUACAAAUGCUAUGAAUAGGUGCCCCUGAUAUCUCUACUUGAAUUUCUCUAUACAGCUUUUCGAAGACCCUUCUGAAUUCAACACGUGUUUAGGAGAUUCACAGUAUUUUGUUGAUGCCCCAAGAUGUCGUCUAUUCCUUUCUGCCGAUUUAGGUACAACAAGACUACCACGUGACAAUCAAAAUUUGAGCCGCCCUUUUCAGGUUUCAGCUCAAAUCCCCUUUGGUCUUAAGGCGCCCUUUGCGGGUUUUCACCUUAGCCUCUCCAUUUUUUUUUGGAAUCCAAGCGCCCUUUGCGGGUUUUCACCUUAGUUCCUUCCCUUCUUCAAGUAAAGUAUCUCUUGACCGAAUCUGAAUUUACUGGAUUAGGCAAGUUUCUUCCAUCCAUUUCAGCCAGGAUCAGGGCUCCUCCAGAAAAGGCCUUUUUUACAACAUAAGGACCUUCCCAAUUCGGCAUUCAUUUCCCCCUAAAAUUUUUUUGUAGAGGAAUAAUCUUUCUCAACACCAGGUCCCCCUCGUGAAAUUCUCUGGGUCGGACCUUCUUGUUAUAGGCUCGCAUCAUUCUUUUCUGGUACAUCUGACCAUGCUGAAUAACCUUUAGCCUUUUUCCCUCUAUCAAGUUAAACUGAUCGUAUCGAGAUUGAACCCAUUAUGCUUCAUCCAAUUGUAGCUCAGUCAAAACCCGAAGAGAAGGGAUUUCAACUUCGAUGGGCAAGACUGCCUCCAUGCCAUAAACUAAGGAGAAAGGCGUUGUCCCGGUAGAGGUCCUGAUUGACGUUCGAUAAGCAAGAAGGGCAAACGGCAGUUUCUCGUGCCAGUCCCUGUAGGUCUCAGUCAUCUUUCCCACAAUCUUCUUUAUAUUUUUAUUAGCCGCUUCCACUGCACCAUUCAUUUUUGGACGAUACGGCGAUGAAUUGUGAUGUCUGAUCUUGAAUUGACUGCAGACUUCUGCUAUUAAGCUGUUGUUCAAGUUUAACGCAUUAUCGGAUAUGAUUCUUUCAGGCAUUCCAUACCGACAUAUGAUCUAUCUUUUCAAGAACUUACUGACUGAUGACUUUGUAACGUUAGCAUAUGAAGCAGCUUCUACCCAUUUGGUGAAGUAGUCAAUAACCACAAAUAUAAAACGGUGCCCAUUUGAAGCCUUCGGUGAUAUUGGCCCGAUGACAUCCAUACCCCACAUGGAGAAAGGCCAUGGAGAAGUCAUGAUAUGAAGAGGCGAAGGAGGUGCAUGCAUUUUAUCACCAUAGAUUUGACAUUUAUGGCACUUUUUGGAGUAAUUGAUGCAAUCCCUUUCCAUGGUGGACCAGUAAUACACGAAUCUCAUAAUCUGUUUAGCCAUUGUGAACCCACUGGCAUGCGUUCCACAGAUGCCCUCAUGGACUUCCUCCAGGAUUUUCUUUGCUUCCACGGCGUCCACACAUCUUAACAGUACCUGAUCUUUUCCCCUUCUGUAUAAGAUCUCCCCAUCUAAGACGUAAUCAAUGGCUAGUCUUCUCAGAGUUCUCUUUUCAUUCUCCGUUGCCUGGCUAGGAUACUCAUGAUUUUUUACAUAUCGUAGUAUAUCUUGAUACCAAGGACUAUCAUCGAUUUCUCCUUCUUCAAUAUUGUAACAAUAAGCCGGGUCUUCAUGAUACUCAUUUGGAUAGGCUUCAUAUCCUCAUGUCUGUUCACCUUGAUCAUGGAGGCUAAAGUAGCUAGUGCAUCAGCCAUCUGGUUCUCAUCUCGUGGGAGAUAGCAAAAAGUGAUGUCCUCAAACUCCUUAAUCAAUUCGAGGACCAACUUUCGAUAAUUGAUUAAUUUGGGAUCUCUCGUUUCCCAUUCACCCCUGAGCUGAUAUAUCACUAAUGCUGAAUCUCCAUAGACCUCUAACACUUUGAUUCUUCGCUCUAUAGCUGCACGAAUACCCAUGAUGCAUGCUUCGUAUUCUGCCAUGUUGUUUGUACAAUCAAAAUCCAAUUUGCAAGUGAAAGGAUAAUGAUCACCAUUCGGGGACACUAGGACUGCCCCAAUUCCAUUGUCCACAGCAUUCGAGGCUCCAUCAAAGUUUAGCCUCCAACUGUAACCUUCUUGUGAAUUUUCUUCGAUAGCCGCUAUACACAUCAAAUCUUCAUUUGGGAAAUCAAAACUCAACGGCUCGUAGUCCUCCAAAGCUCUACUAGCUAGAAAGUCAGCAAUUGCACUCCCUUUCACAGCCUUUUGGCUCACGUAGACAAUAUCGAAUUCAGACAGUAAGAUCUGCCAUCGGGCCAUCCUCCCACUCAAAGCAGUUGACUCCAUCAUAUACUUUAACGGGUCUAACUUUGAGAUUAGCCAAGUCGUAUGGUAUAACAUGUACUGCCUUAAUCUUCGGGUUGUCCAAAUCAAGGCACAGCAUAACUUCUCAAUAGGCGAAUAUCUCAUUUCACAGUCAGUGAAUUUCUUGCUGAGAUAAUAUAUCGCCCUUUCUUUUCUCCCCGUUUCAUCAUGUUGGCCUAGCACACACCCCAUGGAAUUAUCAAAUACUGUCAGAUACAAUAUCAGCGGCCUAUCCGGGCUAAGUGGUGAUAGCACUGGAGUGUUAGACAAAUACUGCUUCACCUUGUUAAAAGCUUCCUCGCAUUCUUCAUCCCAGGUACCAGGAUUAUGUUUCUUCAGAAGACGAAAUAUAGGGUCACAUUUCUCAGUCAGUUGUGAAAUUAACCUAGCGAUGUAAUUCAAUCUUCCGAGGAAACCUCGAACUUCUUUUUGAGUGCGAGGUGGAGGUAAAUCUCGUAUUUCCUUGACUUUGUCUGGGUCAAUCUCGAUUCUCUUUUCACUGACUAUGAAGCCUAGCAACUUUCCUGACCUGGCCCCAAAAGUGCACUUCGCUGGAUUAAGCUUGAGCUGGAACUUUCUCAAUCUUAAGAAUAACUUUUUCAAGACUUGUACAUGUUCCUCCUCCGUUCUAGAUUUCGCGAUCAUAUCGUCAACAUAAACCUCGAUCUCCUUAUGCAUCAUAUCAUGGAACAAGGCUACCAUGGCUCUUUGGUAUGUCGCUCCCAUAUUCUUUAACCCAAACGACAUCACUUUAUAACAAAACGUCCCCCAUAACAUAAUGAACGUAGUCUUUAUCAUGUCCUCGGGAUGCAUCUUUAUCUGAUUAUACCCAGAAAAACCAUCCAUGAAGGAAAAUACUGAAAAGCCCGCCGUAUUGUCUACCAAUGUGUCGAUGUGAGGUAAUGGGAAAUUGUCUUUUGGACUAGCCUUGUUCAAAUCCCUGUAAUCAACACACAUUCGUACUUUUCCAUCUUUCUUCGGAACUGGUACGAUAUUGGCCACCCACUCAGAAUACUUGACUUCUUGUAGAAACCUGGCAUCAAACUGCUUCUAGACCUCCUCUUUUAUCUUCAACACGAUAUCAGGCCUCAUUCUUCUAAGCUUUUGCUGAACUGGCUUACAAUCUUCUCUUAUAGGAAGGCGAUGGACUACAAUGUCAGUACUUAACCCAGGCAUAUCUUGGUAUGACCAUGCAAAGACAUCCUUGAAUUCCUGGAGUAGUCUGAUGAGGUCUUGUCUUGUCUUUGCAGAAAUAUCAGAUCCGAUCUUCACCUCUUUUCCUUCCUCCAAGCUCACAAUUUCUAUUGAUUCCCUGUGAGGUAGGAUUUGUUACUCGGCCCUUUCUACCAUCUUCAACAAGUCAGGAGACAAACCACAGUCUUCGUCAUCUUCAAAAUCAUGCGAUCCUUCUAAACACAUGUUUCGUUCAAAAGGAGACUCUAAAUUUGUAAGAGUGACAUUCGUAUCAUUGAUAUCGUAGGACCUGUUAUGAAAAACAAUAUGGAUUCAGGAAUUUGUUUGGUGCAAUAUAGUCAUGAAUGAAAUGCAAGUGUAGUUUGAGAGAAAUUCAAAAUAACUGCUCUUAUGAAAAAAAAGAUUUGCUCCAAAAAUGACUGCAGAAAAUGCACUUUAUUAAAAUAACGAUUUUUGGACAUGAGCCUAUUUCACAAAGGAAUCCUUAUCACUUCUAGGCUAAAAGCAAUAAGGGUGUUCUGGACAUUACUCUGAGGAAAUCCUAAAAACUACAGGUAUUUCUUCUGCAGUCCAGUUGUUUAGCGCACUUCCCGGUUCGUAAGGUUGAAUAUCCUGCAAUGUUCCUCCUCCCGUCGCUUCUUCAUACACGGCAUGAAUACUUUCUAACUCCGUAUUAAUACUUCCAACUCCUAGCAUUCCCUGAUAGAUGAAUCCUCCCGAUACAAAAGUCUUGGAUAGGUGAGGAAAGGUCAUGGGCUCCCAUUUGACGUCAUCACCUGUCAAACGAGCCAUUCUUCUCUCUCGCUUCUUUUCUUACUCUAUCCUCUUCUGCCUAGCAUCUAGCUUGUAUCCUAAGCCAAAACGGUCCUACUUGUCUUUCAAUACUGGAGUCUCAACUCGGCCCUAAAGAUAUUUCUUCAAUCCUUUUCUCUGUAAAGCUCUAUUUCCAAUUGUCAAUUGCAGACCCAUCUCUGUGGUCUUUGAUAUUCUCGGCAUCGGGAUCUUGUUUUCCUUACGGAUGAAUGUUGCAUUUACGAACUCCAAGGAACAGAAAGAGCACUCGAUUGCAUCAUCACUUGUUUCCAAAUAAGGCGCAUCGUUGGUUUCAGAUGCAAUGAUAUCUUCUUCAGCAUUUAUCGUCACUACCCGGCCUUCUGACACCAGCUUCAGCUUUUGAUGUAAUGAUAAUGGUACCGCACCUGCUGAAUGAAUCCAUGGCCUUCCUAAUAGACAACUGUAAGAAGGCUUGAUGUCUAUAACCAAGAAGUCUACCUCAUAGAUAGUUGGGCCAAUUAACAAGGGUAUGUCAAUUCUUCCCAUGACCUUCCUCUCGGUGCCAUCAAACGCUCUCAUCAUAUUCUGGCACGACUUCAUAUGUGAACUAUCCACAGGUAGGCUGUUGAGUGUGGAUAAAGGCAAUACAUUCAGUGCCGACCCGUUGUCUACCAGAACUCCUGGCAAUAUGCACCAUUUACACCUUGCAGUGAUGUGUAAAGCUCUAGUAGAUCCCAUACCCCCAGGUGGUAUUUCAUCAUCGCUAAAUGAGAUGAAGUUAUCAGUGCUUAUAUUGCCGACCAGUCGAUCCAACUUAUUAACAGAGAUAUCGUCGGCCACAUAAGUUUCAUUUAACACCUUCAGUAGUGCAUUUCGAUGUCCCUCCGAGUUCAGGAGUAAAGCUAGCACAGAUAUGCGAGCUAGUUGUUUGUGCAGCUGUUCUACAACACUGUACUCGCUAUGCUUUAUGAACUUUAAAAACUCUCUAGCUUCCUCCUCUUUGAUUGGUUCAUUGACCAAUAAUUCAGGUUCGACCGCAUUCUUCUUCUUUCGAACCGAAGUUUCUUCUCUUAUUGGCUCUACUCGAGCUUUCAUCUAUUCAUGGUGCCCUCCUUCAUCCUGAUCCUUUUUACUGAUUAUAUCCUCCUUCCCUGGGAUUGUCACAUUACAAUUGUAAUUCCAAGAAACUCUCCUGUUAUCCUUAUAUGCAAACACAGCUGGUUUUUGAAUGAUUACUUUUGGUGUUAUUCGUGCCCCAACCUCACUGUUCUGAGGUCACGAGAUGAUGACCAUAGGAUGGUUAGCCUUCGGAACUCACAAUGCCAAUUCUGACGCGCAUACAUGACUCUCCUCUUGAACUCCUUCACAGAACUCCAUCUCCUUAUUAUCCAUCAUACCUUGUACCAUGGCUCUGAACUUCGUGCACUCCUGGAUUUUAUGCCCCAUUUCAUGGUGGAACUCGCAGUAGUUCCUCCUCCUUUCACAGCUUCCUUUUGAGACGAUUAGUCCCCUUUUUACCAUCUCCUUCCAGUCCCAUCUCAAAGGAGUUUUCACAUCUACAAUGUCUGCCUUGAUUCUUCUAUUUUCGCCCAUCAUAUUUACCCCAUUGUCAGUAUGGUUCGGUAACGGAUUUUCCACCUUAGUCGCUUCAUCAAAUUUUACAAUACCCAUACUAAUGAGCCUUUCAACCAACUUCUUAAAGGUCGUACAGUUUUCUAUGGAAUGCCCUGUUGUUCCCGCAUGAUAGUCGCACUGUGCAUUCGCAUCGUACCAUUUGGGAUACGGGGGUUGCAAGGGCUUCAGAUAGAAAGGGGAAACUACGUGUGCGUCAAAUAAAUUUCGGUAUAGUUCUCUGUACGACAUAAGAAUUAACGUGAAUUGGGGCCUCUCAGUGUUUCACCUUGUACUGACCUCUUGUCUCGACGAGCUUUGCUGAUUGCCAGCCACUUUUCCUGGCUGACUCAGUAUUACUGACUUCGAGUAACCCUUGUUGUACAUGCUCGCGCUGUUCACCUCGUUUUCCUUCCUCCUCGAAGCCGAUCUUCUGUUACUCUCUCCAGCAUCGAUCUUCCUACUCCUGAUGGCGUUCUCAAUCAUCUCGCCAUUCAUGACUAUGUCAGGGAAGCUUUUUGUGGCACUUCCUAACAUAUGUGUAAUGAACGGUGCCUUCAGGGUGUUAAUGAACAACAUGGUCAUUUCCUUUUCCAGGAGCGGUGGCUGAACUUGGACUGUGACCUCCCUCCAUCUCUGCGCGUACUGCCUAAAGCUUUCGCUCGGCUUCUUCUUCAUAUUUUGAAGGGUGAUUCUAUCAGGAGCCAUGUCUGUCACAUGACUAUAUUGUUUCAUGAAUGCUAGUGUCAAGUCCCUCCAUUAACCAAUCGUGGUACGGCUCAGCUGAUUGUACCACUUAGAUGCUGCCCCUGCUAGGCUAUCUUGGAAACAGUGUAUUAAUAGCUGGUCAUUGUUAACGUAUCCAGCCAUUCGGCUGCAGAACAUGGUGAUAUGAGCCUCUGGGCAAGUCGUCUCAUUGUACUUCUCGAAUUCUGGCAUCUUGAACUUGAUAGGGAGUACCAAAUCUGGAACUAAACUCAGCUCUUUUGCGUCAACGCCUCGAUAACCCUCAGUGACCUCCGUCGCCUUGAACUUCUCCUCGAACCACUUACACAUUUCCUCUAACUGUUUCGGUAACUCCUCCUUCAUUCUUUCCUUCUCAACCACUUCAUCAAAGUCAGGAAUGGCAAAGUUAACAGGAUUAUUUUCAGGAUUAGAACCCGACCCAGUUUGGAAGUUUGAAAUACCAACCCAAAACUACUGAGGCAUGAUGGUGACAGUUGACUUGCGCGGGUAUUCAGCUUGAGUUAGCACAUGUGGAGGGGUGAAACCUGGAGGAUAGAGAGGUUUAUCAUCAUUUCCUUCAUCGACAUUUGCCAUGGGGCCCUUUCCUUUAUCACUUCCAUUGGUUAUCAGUUGGGUUAACUUUGCCACUAUAUCUUCUUGAGAUUCUCGCAUCUUCUCAGACAUCUCUUGUUUCAUCUUGUCUAACCGCUCUUGCAUCUGUAGCUGAAGCCGGUCCUGCAUCUCCUUCUAAUACUGUUCGAGCUUUUCCAAUCUCUGAUCCAUAUCUUUUGUCUUUGCUCGAGUGCCGUAACGGUGUUUGGUUGGUGGUUGGUUUCCAGGUUAACUGAGCAAUGAUUUUAGAUAAUUAGGAUCAAUUAAAGGCUUUUAAUGCAUAUGAUGCGAUGCAUGAGAUGAAUGCAAGAAAGGCGUUAAUUAUGAUUCAAUUCCACUUGGAAAACUUUAUUAAAAAACAAAUCCCUUUACAUAGAACAUACUACAAAUACGACUUUGCCCUAAUACUUAAGACCUUAAUUUUUUGAAGCAACGAGGUUAACUCCCGUCCCCGGUCUGACUUUAAUUCAUACUUUACACUCAACGUGUCAGCUUGUAUUGCCAGAGUUUGUAGGUGAUCCGCUACUUACCGAAUCUGAACCAAAGCUUCUCCCAUAACACAAUCUCUGCUUCUGACUUGAUUCUGGAAAUAGUGGAGCUGUUCGCUUUGAUAAUCUUCGUUUGCCUCCAAAUACUCGAUCCUGACUUCACAGUUCUGCAAUGCCACCUCUAGUUCUUCCAUAGUUUUCUUCAUUUGCUCGAUCCUGCUUAAACUUGCUUGCAGUUCCACCAUCGAAUUACGAUUUCGGUAUUGAUGAACAAUCUUCUCAAGUUCGGCCACUCUAGCCUUUAGUUUAUCCCUUUCAUCUUGAUUUUCUAACAAACUCUUCUCAAGCGAUCUAUUUUGCAUCUGGGUUUCCUGGAAUCUUUCUUCCCAUCUACCAGUCUUGGCCUUUUCUUCUUGAACCUCUUGACGCCACUGCUCUGAGGUUUUUUCCAACCCAGCAGUUCUCACUGACAAACGUAGUCUCUUAUAAUCCGUCUUCAAACUGUUCAGAUCUUCCUCGACUUUGCGCUUCCCUUUUCUCAGGCCUUCGGUUUCCAAUUUCUGAACAUCUAUGUCCAACUUUAAAUUCACCUUUUCUUCCUCCAUUUGCUCUAUUUUCUUCUCUAAUGCUGCAUUCAUUCUUUCGAAGUCUUGCUUUAUGAUUUCCAGCUCAGAAGGGACGACACGCAAAUGCUCCUCUAUCGACUAACUAUUUUCUGGACUUGGCCCAGGAAUGUUGUCAUUAAUCCUCCUAACACACCAUUCGUUGUACUCAGAAGUUGUCAUUGGACCCACGGCUAAUCUCUUCAUUCGGCGAGUCUGAUUCCAUGCAUUGGCCAUCUCACGAGCCUUCCUCUUGUAGCCAUCAUCCUUAUAUGAAAAGUCACACUCAGCUAGUCAUUGAGUGGCAGGCACAAACUGUCUUGACCUGUAUUGUCUUAUUACUAGCAAUGGAGCAUAACCAACAGCUCCCCAAAUCCCAAGCAACGGAACCCAGUUAAAAUCCCCACACCGAUAUAGGAUCUCAUUUGGAAGCAACCACGGAGCUCUCCACUCGACGUUCUCCUCUUGCAGAUUCUGAAAGAUUUCCAUCCAUUUCUCCUCUGUAAUAUCAUCUCUCUUUGACGUAGCCACUAUCUCUUUCAACGGUGAAUAACUUUCAGAGAAGACAUGAUAUGAAACCUUAUCAACCUUCCAAAAGUGGCUAUGGAACCACCCAAGUAGUAGCUGCGCACAUCCAAUAAAUCUGCCCUCUCCCGUUCUUCGACAUGUAUUUAAUGACCUAAAGGUUUCUGCCAAAAUCACCAGAACUAGUGUAACUCCCUUAUCAAGUCGAUCAAAUAAAUCAGUGAUCGCCUCGUCAAUAUGUCCCAAAAUCUUAGGAAACACAAUUAAGCCAUAUAUACUCAAAGCAAAGACGUCUACUUUCUUCCUCACAUUUGGGUGUGCUAAAAUGAGGUCCCUUAAACUUUUCCAGGGAAUACACAUGCUUUCCCCUUUUUGCUUAAUCCGAGCCGUAACCCACUGCUCACUCAUCCCUGUUAUAUUUAUCAGCUUCUUCAAGAAUGUUGGUACAUUUACCGCCUUCGAAUAAAUUCUAUCUACCUGAACCUUCGAACACCGAAGUAAAGCUGUGUACUCCUCUAUUGUAGGCACUAAAUCAACCUUCCCGAAUGUAAAGUAACUGUAGGCCGAAUUCCAAAACUGGGCAAGAGCUCGAAACAGACGCUUGUCUACCUUCAUGUCAAGUAAAUAAGGCAAAUCCUCAUAAUUUAAAUAGAAUAACUGUCUAACCUCAUUAUCCCACUGAUCCCAAAUCUCCUUCAACUCCUGCAAGUUGUUCUGAGCUACGCUAACACGAGUGAAGUCCCAUAACUCUGAUAUGUAUCCCACGGCCAAACUAUCACCUUUUUCACGCUGUAUCAUCUCAGACCAAGUCCGGACAGCCGCAUUGUCUUCCACUCUAUCAAGAAACUCAUUUCCCAUGAUAAGCUUUCUAUAUGGCAACCGAAUAUGAACCAACGCCUUUAUAAUGAAAUGUCAUGCAAUUAUGAUGUCAUAUAAUCAAAACAAAAUAAACUCAAGUCAGUAUCACAUAUAAAGAUAUAAUCCAAUAUAAAAUAACAAGAACACUUAUUCAGGAAUCUACUAGGGUUCGGCAUUGUUCUACUUAGGGCAAGUUCCUAAAGCUCACUAUAUGAGGUUUAGUUUCUAUAGUAAGGGUACCCGAACCAGCAGAUUCCUCGAUCUUCACCCAUUAUAGGCUCAUAUGGAUUGAGUUCAGUUCAGGGGGACACAUUUCCCUAUGGCUGCACAGAGAUGAAAAUCUCACGAAGGCAUAGGUACGGAUGUAUCCCGGAAGCGGUCCACUACCCUGCACGGAGGUGAAAACCUCACGAAGGACUAGUUUCUCGCUCCCACUUAAGGGUAAAAUGCAAAAUGCAAAUGCAAAGUUUCCAACAUACCAUGAUAAAAAGUCAAUGAGUGCGAAGGGAACUCAUGAAUUUUUUAAAAAAAUUUAUUUUCGACACAAAGACAAACAUAAUCAGUUUAUGGCUCGACUCUCUAACGUCCCCAGCGGAGUCGCCAAGCUGUCGAAACCGUUUUUUGAAAACAAAAACUUUGGUUGUCGACUUAAAAAACAAAAAUUGGAGUCGCCACCGAUCCUUUAUUAAGGUGUGAUCGGCGCACCUUAAAAAUAAUUUUGGUCUGCGAAUUUUGAGAAAACAGGUUCGGGAGUCAGUUACGCACGAGGAAGGAUUAGCACCCUCGUAACGCCCAAAAUUGGUACCAAAUUGAUUUUAUUUAUGCCUUGGUGUCGAAAACUUGAAAAUAUUUUAAAAGGAAACUUUUUUAUUUUAUGAAUGAAUUAAAAUGAUAAGACAUUCUUAUUUCAAAGAAAUAAAACACCACACCCAGUGAGUUAGGGCACAAUGUUUUUAAAUCUUCAAAAUACCCGAAUAUUGCCUUUUGCUUUUGAAAAUUCUUAUUUCGAGAAGAAAAUGUCAUGACCAGUAAGUUAGGACCCAACAUUUUUGAAUUCCCGAGAAUAAGCUUUUAUUUAAAAUUUGCGAAUUUAUUGCAAAACAAAUACUUGGCUUUCUAAAUUCAUCGAAAAAUACCCGUAAUCCAGUAAGUUAGGACACGAUCUUUCUCAAGAAUCAUGAAUGCCAAAUAUCUCGAAAAUUUAUGAAAUAUCAUGAUUUUAAUACUUUGACAAAAUCAAAAUACACAUUUAAAAAAAAAAGGAUAUGCUAAAAAGGGGUAAUGCAUAACAUGAGAUCAAUAUUCUAAUUUCAAGCAUAUAUGAAUAAACAUUUACAAAUAUAUACAAGUAUAAUAUACAAGAAAUUCACAAAUACGUGCAUGCAUAUAUUUGACACACAUGUACAAUGAUACAUAUAAAAAGAUAGAAUGGAAUAUAUCAAUAAAAAAACUAAAAAAAUGCAUGUAUAUGUAUUUGAAAAUCGUGAAAAAGGAUAAAAUACAAAAAUAUGUAUAUGUGUAUAUAUUUACAAAAGUAAAAAAAAGUUUGAAAUUAAAAAAUAACAGUAUAUGUAUAUAUAGAAGUUUUAAAAAAAAGAAAAAAAAGAAAAAAACAUAUGUAUAAAGUAUAGGUAGACGUGUAACCUAAAACAUGCAUAUAUAUAUAUAUAUAUAUAUAUAUAUAUAUAUAUAUAUAUAUUAAAAACCAUGCAAGUAUACUAAAAACGUGUGUAUGUAAAACAUGUGUAUGUAUAUGUAUUAUAAAAAAAACAAUGCAUGAAUGUUAUAAAAUAAUAAUAAUUACGUAUAUAACAUAUGCAUAUAAAACAUUUAAAUAUAUAUACAGUAUAUACAUAAAUAUGAUAAAAAAACGCAUGUGCGUGUACAUAGAUAGGUAUAAUAAUGAUAAUAAAAAUAAUUGAAAAUAUGGACCAAAUUGAAUUAAAACAAAAAAAGUAAAUUCGCAAUAAACAAAAAAAGAACCAAAUUGGGGCGCGCGAGCAACAGUGGGGACUAAAAGGGAAAUUAAUCCCACCCCCCAAAACGCUGCGCAGCGAGGGAUCAAAUUGAAACAAAAAUGAAAUAUGCGUCAAAAUUUUAAAAAGCAAAAUGGAUUUGAUUGGAGCGCAUCGCAAAAAGGAGGGACUAAUAGCACAAAUAUCCCAUUUAAAGCCAGAAUGCGCGGAUCCUCCCCUCCGGGUCGGGUCACCGCGCGGGUCAUGGCUACCUAAACGGCGCCGUUUUGCAGUCGUUAUAAAACCAAAAAAUUUUCCCAAAAGCCCCAUUUUUUCUUUUGUUUACAAAUGAUAGCAGAGAAACCCUUUGCUAGGGUUUCUUUUCCAUGCCGCCGCCGCCAUUCAAAGCCAUUCCUAUGGUUUCAGUCGGUGCCCCCAGUCACCGAUUACAAUGGCGAAGGGAGCACCACGACGAUAUUAGGUAAGAUCCUCUUUUUUAAAAAAAAAGCUAAAAACGGAAAAAGGAAAACGAUAAAGAAUAAUAAAAAAACCUUUCAAGAUCUUUUCUUUAGAAAAUUUUCCUCCUUUAUUACUGUUUACAACAAACGAGAGAUAAACAAAAUAGGAAAAUAAUAGAAACACGAUUUCACCUUCAAUUUUUCAGUAUUUCUCUGUCUUUUUCGUAUUUCUUUCUAUUUUCGUGUAUUUUUUACACUGAAAAAUCCCCGCUAAUACAAAUUAAAAUCGGCCUUUAAAUAGCCGAGAAAAGAAAAAGAAAUCAAAUCAAAAGAAAUCCCCUCUGCUUUUGUUAGAAAGAUUUUUGCCGUUCUGUUUGUGUUUGUUGCUGUGGGUUCAACGUGCAGGGAAGGCGCGAGAUUCGUGGCAGCGAAGGGCACGAUGUGCGAGAUCGACGGGCAUGACGCGCGGAAGCAGUUGCUGCGCCAGUUGCUGCGGCGCUGAGGCAGAAGCUAGGGUUUCUGCUAUUCUAUUUUUUUCGUGGGCUAGGGUUAGUUUGGGUGUUUAGGGUUAUUGGGCCUAGGUUUAGCUUAUUUUUUUGUUUUGUAAGGGCCCGGGUAAAUUGGGCUUAUUACAGUCCUAAUUAUUUUUUAUCCAAU
rnacentral:lncRNA from 1 species